AGCUUUGCGCAGUGGCAGUAUCGUAGCCAAUGAGGUUUAUCCGAGGCGCGAUUAUUGUUAAUUGAAAACUUUUCCUAAUUUGUCAUCAAAGUAACUCAUGAAAGUAGGUUUUUGAUUACUCCCAUUUUUAGUCAACAAAA